AUUGAACGCUGGCGGCAGGCCUAACACAUGCAAGUCGAGCGGAUGAAGGGAGCUUGCUCCUGGAUUCAGCGGCGGACGGGUGAGUAAUGCCUAGGAAUCUGCCUGGUAGUUGGGGAUAACGUCCGUAAACGGGCGCUAAUACCGCAUACGUCCUGAUGGAGAACGUGGGGGAUCUUCGGACCUCACGCUAUCAGAUGAGCCUAGGUCGGAUUAGCUAGUUGGUGGGGUAAAGGCCUACCAAGGCGACGAUCCGUAACUGGUCUGAGAGGAUGAUCAGUCACACUGGAACUGAGACACGGUCCAGACUCCUACGGGAGGCAGCAGUGGGGAAUAUUGGACAAUGGGCGAAAGCCUGAUCCAGCCAUGCCGCGUGUGUGAAGAAGGUCUUCGGAUUGUAAAGCACUUUAAGUUGGGAGGAAGGGCAGUAAGUUAAUACCUUGCUGUUUUGACGUUACCAACAGAAUAAGCACCGGCUAACUUCGUG
rnacentral:rRNA from 1 species